GAUGAACGCUAGCGGGAGGCCUAACACAUGCAAGCCGAGCGGUAGAAUUUCUUCGGAAAUUUGAGAGCGGCGUACGGGUGCGGAACACGUGUGCAACCUGCCUUUAUCUGGAGGAUAGCCUUUCGAAAGGAAGAUUAAUACUCCAUAAUAUACAAGAUGGCAUCAUUUAGUAUUGAAAGCUCCGGCGGAUAAAGAUGGGCACGCGCAAGAUUAGAUAGUUGGUGAGGUAACGGCUCACCAAGUCUGCGAUCUUUAGGGGGCCUGAGAGGGUGAUCCCCCACACUGGUACUGAGACACGGACCAGACUCCUACGGGAGGCAGCAGUGAGGAAUAUUGGACAAUGGGUGCAAGCCUGAUCCAGCCAUCCCGCGUGAAGGAUUAAGGACCUAUGGUUUGUAAACUUCUUUUGUACAGGGAUAAACCUAUCUACGUGUAGAUAGCUGAAGGUACUGUACGAAUAAGCACCGGCUAACUCCGUGCCAGCAGCCGCGGUAAUACGGAGGGUGCAAGCGUUAUCCGGAUUUAUUGGGUUUAAAGGGUCCGUAGGCGGACCUAUAAGUCAGUGGUGAAAGCCGACAGCUUAACUGUCGAACUGCCGUUGAUACUGUAGGUCUUGAGUAAAUUUGAAGUGGCUGGAAUAAGUAGUGUAGCGGUGAAAUGCAUAGAUAUUACUUAGAACACCAAUUGCGAAGGCAGGUCACUAAGAUUUAACUGACGCUGAUGGACGAAAGCGUGGGGAGCGAACAGG
rnacentral:rRNA from 1 species